rnacentral:rRNA from 1 species
UACGUAGGGUGCGAGCGUUAAUCGGAAUUACUGGGCGUAAAGCGUGCGCAGGCGGUUUUGUAAGCCAGAUGUGAAAUCCCCGGGCUUAACCUGGGAAUGGCAUUGGGACUGCAAGGCUGGAGUGUGGCAGAGGGGGAUGGAAUUCCGCGUGUAGGAGUGAAAUGCGUAGAUAUGCGGAGGAACACCGAUGGCGAAGGCAAUCCCCUGGGCCUGCACUGACGCUCAUGCACGAAAGCGUGGGGA